UACGUAGGGUGCAAGCGUUAAUCGGAAUUACUGGGCGUAAAGCGUGCGCAGGCGGUUAUUCAAGACAGAUGUGAAAUCCCCGGGCUCAACCUGGGAACUGCAUUUGUGACUGGAUGACUAGAGUACGGCAGAGGGGGAUGGAAUUCCGCGUGUAGCAGUGAAAUGCGUAGAUAUGCGGAGGAACACCGAUGGCGAAGGCAAUCCCCUGGGCCUGUACCGACGCUCAUGCACGAAAGCGUGGGGAGCAAACAGG
rnacentral:rRNA from 1 species